AUCCUUUUCCAGUUCAUAAGUGUGGUGAUUGGGUUCUCACGUGCUUGCGUGAUGUACCUCCCUCUAAACCUUGUUGCGACAUGAGUACAUUAUCCAUAUGACA